rnacentral:rRNA from 1 species
GUGAACGCUGGCGGUAGGCCUAACACAUGCAAGUCGAACGGCAGCACAGUAAGAGCUUGCUCUUACGGGUGGCGAGUGGCGGACGGGUGAGGAAUACAUCGGAAUCUACUUUUUCGUGGGGGAUAACGUAGGGAAACUUACGCUAAUACCGCAUACGACCUACGGGUGAAAGCAGGGGAUCUUCGGACCUUGCGCGAUUGAAUGAGCCGAUGUCGGAUUAGCUAGUUGGCGGGGUAAAGGCCCACCAAGGUGACGAUCCGUAGCUGGUCUGAGAGGAUGAUCAGCCACACUGGAACUGAGACACGGUCCAGACUCCUACGGGAGGCAGCAGUGGGGAAUAUUGGACAAUGGUCGCAAGCCUGAUCCAGCCAUACCGCGUGGGUGAAGAAGGCCUACGGGUUGUAAAGCCCUUUUGUUGGGAAAGAAAAGCAGCAGGUUAAUACCCCGCUGUUCUGACGGUACCCAAAGAAUAAGCACCGGCUAACUUCGUG